AUUAAAGAGACAAGAAACAAAGCAGAGAGCAGGCUCAGGGAUUUUCUUCCCUGACACAAACAGCAGAGCAUUUGGGACAGAGAGCUCACUGACAGUUUGAGUGCUCAGCACUGUUCUGGAAACCUGUCCACAGGCAGUGUCUCUAAUGGCCCUGCUGAACAGCACAAAGCUGCCAGCUAAGGGCCACAGAGGAUUCGUGAGUCUUAUCUCUGCUGAAGCUGUGACUGAUGGCGACCUGGGUCUCUGACCCAGCACAUUUGGUGUAGUGUAGAGAAAUGGCUGGUCACUUGCCACCCUGAGUGGGAAUCAGGCUGCUGUUGAGAAGCCACUGGGGUGCCGUGCUGCCCCAGGGAACAGAACCGUGACAUCAGCUCAAGCAUGAAGUCAUAACAAUGCCACUGCUUUCCCAAAAGGCCACGGUCUGUGGGAAGAAACACAACUGCAAUUCUUGAUGCGAGUUUUUCAUGCCUUUGGGUGUGACUGAUGCAGGAAAAGGCUCAGUUUCUACUACGAAUCACCUGAAAGCGCUCGAGGUAUCGGGGAAGCUUGGACUGUUCUGGUUCCUCAGUGUCUAGCUGCUCCACCAGGUUUGCUGAGCCCAAGCCAUCUUCACCUUCCUGAGGCUGUGCCUCUGAAGCCUGGCCAUCUGGAGACGUCACCACCUUCAGGACUCCAUCCAGCACAUCGAGCUGUAGGGCACAGGAGAGUCAGGAGGACAUCUGUUAUAGACUUGACUGUGUGCAGGCCAGAGACAAAGUGUGUGUUCCUUGUUUAUAAUGACUGAGAAAGAGCAUUAAUGAUAUCAGCAUAAUGUGCCAUGGGAGACACUGGGUUGAGGACCUCAGGACAGAAACGAAAGCUGAGUGGUGAGCCUUGGCGUUUCAGAGUCAAGGCCACACAGAAGAGCAUCUCCAAGGCUGUAGGCUAGGCAGCUAGCCAGCUCCCAGGGCUUCAUGUCUCUCUGCUCCCUCCCCGCCAUUACCGGACGAUAAUUGCACUCCUGGGCCUGGCUUUUUAAGUGGCUCUGGGGAUCUGAACUCAGCCACACUGAAAAUGUUUGUGGUUUCUUUUCAUCCUUUUAAACGGAAUAAAUACCAGUUCUGCACACAUACAGAAAGCAGCGGAAGGAGAAAGACCAUGGGAACAGAUGCUUGUGAAGCCUCCAUUUGACUGAGUGGGGUGGAAAACAUACCACUUCUCUACCCAGCUUGAGGUCUUCAGGGGAGGAGGCCACCCUCUCCAUCACUUGGAGGGCUCUGUCGAGGUAGCCUGGUGUCCACAUCAGAGGCAUGCCGUGGUAUACAGCCCGCACCCCACGCUGCAGUUCCACCUUCCCUGUGGCCAAAAGAGCAACAAAGACUGCUCAGCCAUGCCUCCUCACUGGGUCUGCAGCCAAAGGCUUGGAAGGCCCCAGCCAACAGCAGCCUAGGCAAGGACCCUCACCACGCACACCUUAAAAGGAAGCUUGGUGAACUUGUGUUAAGUGUUUCCUCUGGCUGGAGAUUCACCAGGGCCCAUGAAUCACUGGGCUGAGGAACUUUGAGAGUCUGACAGAGCUGUUCCUACAGAAGGCCACCCUUAAGACAAAAGAAAAUUAUACUACGUAUGUUUCAAGGCCAAAACCAUGCCCAGAAAAAGCAAUGUCACAGCUUCCUACUCUGAGGACCCUGUGACUCAGCGGUGACUUUCCCUGCCGGGAAAUGUGUGACUUGUUUUGAAAAGUGUCAAACAUACAAUCUAUUUUCUUUAUGAAUAAGAAAAGGAACUGCUUCCCACCUCACUUUCUUGAGUGUUAACAGUUCUUACAUCAGCGUCCCGGCUACCUUUGAGGUCACAGGGCCAGGUUGCUCAAACUGCCACGCAGCUGUGGCCAGGCAGCAGGGCCCCGGGAAGCACAGGGCCACCUGCACUGAUCUUAGCACUGAUGAGCAAAGUCACCUUGAGUGGCUCGGUCUAAGUUUGCCUCUGCUCAUCUUUCCUGGAGGGGAGGAUUUGGGAAGCUGGAAGAGGAUGCCAGCAGACAAAGCUUAUCAGGAGAUGGCUAAUUUUAGAUCUUUAAGGUGCUUGGGCUGGACACGGGUCAUGCUGGGCUGCUGGCCUGAGUCGAGUAAGGCUGUGGAGCAGGGGCAGAGGUGGGGUGUCUGAUGGCAUGGCUGCCUAUCGCAAGGGACCAGGGCCUCUUCUCAUAAGCAACAGUCAAGUACAUUCCUUAGCCUCACCAACUUUCUGAAUGAUCUGUGUAAUACGGCAGUCCUGAACACUAAUCUGAGCACCCUUCCACCUGGCUGUACAAACACCUGGGACCAACAGGUGACCGUCCCUGAGAGGUGCUCUCUGACCUUCCUCCCUCACCUGGAAUCAAAGUCAAAGACACAGAUGAUCGUUGGUCGACACUGGGAAAGUAUUGGCUAGCAAUCCUGAUAGAUCACCACAAGUUCACAUAUGCUGUCCCUUCCUCACACUGAUCAAAAAUAAGUUUUCCUACAGUUACCAGAGCCAGUGCUGAGCUGGUUGGUGGUGACGGGUCUAAUGACAUCCCUUGACCAUCCCUAACUGGAGUGUUAUUUUAUUGACUAUACUUGGGAGUUAUAACUGGAUGUUCACUAGUAAAUUUAAAUGAAGCUUUAAUUCUAUUAUGAGACAAAAGGCUGUGCCACAUCUUUCCACAAAGAACAGUAUGAACAAGGCUCACUUAGCUUACCGAGAAGUGCAUAGCCAUACAGCUGGGAACUCAGGCCCACUGUGUUCCUUUGUUUCAGGCCAGAAAGCAAGAGGGACGCCCCAAAGUCUCUUUCUUCUUCCCACUGCAACAGAAUACAGCAGAUCACUGUCUAGUAAACGUGGAUACUUCAUGCUAAAUGUGAUUUUUUAAAAAUAUGACAGCCAACAGCAUGUAUUAAGCUUAUGAAAAUAACAAACUGUGUAGAAGUUAUCCCGAUUCUAUAAAUAAAAGGUAUUCAUAUUUUAAAAAAAUCAGAACAGAAAUGCCCUCUAUAUAACUAAGGACUCCUGGGUGGUGAGAUUUCAUUAAGUGGUUUUGGUUUUCUCCUUUGUGCUCCUCAUGAUUUUUUAUAUUUUGGUAAUGAGCCAGAGCCUUUUACAGUCAGAAAAGAGAAGAGAAUAGAGUACUCUGGACCCACACUGACUUGAGAGCGUCAAAGAGGCCCCCAGGCUGCCAGCUUCACAUUUACCCUGCCCCAGAGGAGAGAGAACGCUAACAGCACAGCAGAGAGAAGCCUCCUCACACUGUUAGUAAGCACCACCAUUAAGUUGCUUUUAGAUAGAUUUGUGCCUCUUAAAGACAAACCAGGCAAUCAGAAACACUUAGUCACUGUGUCUUUCAACCUAGGGUGUAAAAUUGUAUGUCAAUAAAAUUGAAGCCUUUUGAGGAGACAUGAAAAAAAAAAAAAAAAAGGGCAAAGCCACAGGCCUCGCUGGGCCUGCCACACACCAGUAACAAAUGUGACUGGGGCAGUCCUUGAACACUGAGCUCAGAGCUCAGAGGAGGAAGUCUGAAAAGAACCCAGACAUCAGGAGCUGUAAUUCUCUAAUGCCCCACACAAGGCAAGAGCUAUAGCCCUUUCCCUCACGGUCUCUGCCCUAAGAAGCUAGGGAUGGUCUGCAGGGAGCGAGGCUCCGUGCAGCAUUAAAAGCACAGAUCUGGUCAUGUUUUGUGCAGCACAGGCCCCAGUUCUUGGGGUUUUCCUACAUCUUGGAAAAUAGUGGAUCCUGGAAAAGGACUCCAUGUGGGCUUCCACAGCACGGAGGAGGAAGAACUUCUAAUUAAGGACCUGGCCACUUUUCCAACGAAAACCAUUCUAGCUUUUGUGUAUGUGCUAGAAAGCAAACCCGGGGCUUUAUGCCUGCUAAUGUGCCAAUCAGUAAACUACAACUGAAAAAAAGUCAAAUCUAGGGAAGUUCACGUCUCCCACCAAUAACCUGAAAAGUGGGUCUGGUGCAGAAUAAAUAAGAAGUCUGACUU
ensembl:lincRNA